UUAAACAUACAAUGAAGGGAAAAAAGAGAUAAAAAACAUAUAGUGUAGAUGGUUUUGGUGAAAAUGAGUGAUGAAAGUAAAAAGCUGAAACCACUCACAUGGUCUGGAGCCUAUAUAAUAUUGGCUCCGUAUGUAAGCCUAUGUGCUCUUUGUAAUAAUUGUAUUUUACACUACAAAAAAAAGUAUUGUCCAAUAUUAGUCUGAUAGUCUAAAAUAAAAUUUGUGUGGAUAUCGUUAAAAGCCUUAGACUUAUUUAAAAAGAACUGUACCGCUUCAAAUCCUUUGUUAUGUUCAAUGAUGGUGCAUGGAGAAUACUGACACAAACAAAUUUACACACAGAGAACAGUGACACAUGCACACAUAUACACAAAGAGGACACUGAGACACACUGUUACUCACAGAGGACAAGGACACACAAUUACACACAGAGGAUACUAAUACACACACAUAUGCACAGAAAAUGCUGACACUCAGAAGACACUGUCACACACAUUUACACACAGAGGACACUGACACACACAGACAUUUACACACAGGGGACACUUGCACACCCACAUACAGACAGAGGAUACCUGGCACACACAUUUACACACAGAGGACACUGACACACACAGACAUUUACACUGACAUGCACACAUAUUUAUACACAAAGGACACUGACACACAGAUAUACACAGAGGACACUGACAGGCAAACACAUUUACACACACACUCACUGACAGACACAUUCACUGAUUUGACACACACUGAGAGACACACUUACUGAUUUUUGUCAUACUUACCGAUCUUCGAUUCCCUCAAUGUUAUUUCCGGGUUUCUCUAAUCGACCGCUCUGACACAAGACACAGCUGCGUUAUAGGGAAGCUGCUGUAACUUUGAAAUCGCUCAUUUAAUUUGUAGCACUGUGAUACAAAGUUUCCAUCUGAACUCCCUCCUGUGAAUGAAGUCUACCGAACCUCCGAAAAUCCUUACUUUAUGCUGCUGAUCUCUCUCAUCCCUGAAAAUGAAACGCUCCUUGAAUAAUCUUUUGCCUGCUAUUUCAAAAUAGGUUCCCUUUAAUUAUUCUGCAUUCUCUGCUAGCUGUAAUUGUUUGCUGACUUCUACUAACCAUAUGAACUAACAACAUACUAUUGCACUUAAG